rnacentral:rRNA from 1 species
UUCGGAUUGGCGACUGCUGACGGUUCCCCGCCGGCUGUCGCUGAGAAGUCAGUUAAACCCUCCCACCUAGAGGAAGGAGAAGUCGUAACAAGGUUUCCGUAGGUGAACCUGCGGAAGGAUCA